CUGGGCCCAGCCUUGACAGCAGCCAUGGCUGCGCCUCUGGGCUCCAAGACAGCCACUAAAUGCCGCAGGCCCUGGGAGUCCCCCCAGCAGCCUCCUGACAGUGCGUGAGAAACGCCGGCCAGGAUUUAUUGAGCGGCGCGGGCGGAUGCGAUGGCGGCGGCUGCUCCUCCCUCGCUGAAUUAUCUCUGGCAGGAAUAAAAAUCAGCUGAGCGCCAGGUUUUGAUAGGCCACAAUCUGUUAGCAGAAAAUUGGACUGUCACCAGCAUGCCAUGUUCAUUUUGGCUGAUUAAAGAGAUAUUAAUCUACUGUCACGCGGACAGCUCUGUCAGCGCAGUUAACAGGCCAGCGGAGACAGGGCUGCCGCUCGGGGACAGCGGCGCAUUGAAGGCAGCCAUAGCUCAGGGACUCACUGGGGACAGCGGCGCAGUGAAGGCAGCCACAGCUCAGGGACUCAGCGUGGGAUCUGGGCCACCAUCUGCUCUGGGCCACGUCGGGUUCCACGGGGACAGUGGACAGCCCAUCUGUGUUGGCCUUGAGGACAUGAGAGGAAUCAUGUGGGUCCCACGCCUCCAGCAUCCUGGUGCCCGCCUCCGGAGAAAGGUUCAGGAACCCGGCGGGCAGCACCCUCUGCACCUUCCAUCUACACUGGCCAUAGGGAGCAAGCAGCAUGCAGCCCACGGAGGGUGGCUCAGCAAGAGUGGCUUUGUGGGCCUGGCCCCAGAAGCUUGGAACUGCCACAGAGACCCUGGACCACUGCACCCCACAACCCCUCAGGCCUCUGGACUGGCUUCGAGACCCACACCAGAGGCUCCAGGUACGGCCCUCUUCCCCGGACAAUGGUGGCCCCUGCUGAGCCAGAGCUCACAAAGUCUGCGCCAAUCAAUGCGCUGCCUUUCCCAGCUUCUCCACCCUUCAGAAGCCGCCCAAGGCCAAGUCAGGCGAAGAUCCCAGGCAGGGCUGCCCUGCCCACGGGCCUGGAUUCCACACGUGGCCCUUGAUCCUGUGAUGCCCCCAGGCAUUGCCUGCCCUGAUGGGCCCCCCAGCUUGAUGGAGAGGCGGGCAAUAAAUAAGGGCCAGAGCACAUGGCACAACAAGGUCCUCUGA
rnacentral:lncRNA from 1 species